UUCUUUUCUCUCUCUCCAUUUUUCUACAUACACUGGAACACCCGAAGUUAUGCUCUCAUGCAAUGUAUCUUGAUCAAGCUGAUCAAGAGUAAAUUAAUCUCCACAAUGGAUGGCCCAUGCAUUGAAAGUACCCCAUUAUGCAAUCCUAACCAUCAGAAGAACUGAUAGUUAUAGAACAAAAAUGACCAACUGUUCACAUUACAUGCAAUUUUCAAUAUUCCAUUAAUUGAAUGGUUAUGAUCACCCAACAUAUACCUCAUGUACCUUUCAAAAUUUUGCUCCAUGGGAUAUAUCUUGAUCUAGCCGAUCAAGAGUAAUCCUAACAAUGGCUGACCCUUUCAUAUAAAAUACCCCACUAAACGAUCCUAACCAUGCAAAGAACUGGGAGUUAAAAGCAAAAAUAUCCAACAACUCACCACAGUUAGGAAGCAAGAUUCCAUUGAUUGAAUGGUUAUGAUCAUCCGAGAUACACCCGUGAAGCACUCCAAGUUUUGCUUCCGGAAUAUAUCUUGAUCAAGCUGAUCAAGGGUAAUCCCCACAAUGGAUGGCCCAUUCAUUGAAAAUAUGCCAUUAGACAAUCCUAACCAUCCGAAGAAACUGACUGUUGAAAACAAAACAAAAAAAAAAAGAGUCAACAACAGUUCAGCACAGUUAAGAAGCAAGAUUCCGUUGAUU